rnacentral:rRNA from 1 species
UACGUAGGUGGCAAGCGUUGUCCAGAUUUAUUGGGCGUAAAGCGCGCGCAGGCGGUCUUUUAAGUCUGAUGUGAAAUCUCGCGGCUCAACCGUGAGCGGUCAUUGGAAACUGGAAGACUUGAGUACAGAAGAGGAGAGUGGAAUUCCACGUGUAGCGGUGAAAUGCGUAGAUAUGUGGAGGAACACCAGUGGCGAAGGCGACUCUCUGGUCUGUAACUGACGCUGAGGCGCGAAAGGCGUGGGGAGCGAACAGG